UGACUACUCCCUCCGUCCGGAAUUACUUGUCAUCAAAAUGGAUGAAAAUGGGUGUAUCUAGAACUAAAAUACAUCUAGAUACAUCCAUAGUAUUUCUGGACGGAGGGAGUAUCUA
rfam:Triticum aestivum genome assembly, contig: Triticum_aestivum_CS42_TGACv1_scaffold_576977_7BL